rnacentral:rRNA from 1 species
GACGAACGCUGGCGGCGUGCUUAACACAUGCAAGUCGAACGGAAAGGCCCUGCUUUUGUGGGGUGCUCGAGUGGCGAACGGGUGAGUAACACGUGAGUAACCUGCCCUUGACUGUGGGAUAACUUCAGGAAACUGGGGCUAAUACCGGAUAGGAGCUCCUGCUGCAUGGUGGGGGUUGGAAAGUUUCGGCGGUUGGGGAUGGACUCGCGGCUUAUCAGCUUGUUGGUGGGGUAGUGGCUUACCAAGGCUUUGACGGGUAGCCGGCCUGAGAGGGUGACCGGCCACAUUGGGACUGGGAUACGGCCCAGACUCCUACGGGAGGCAGCAGGGGGGAAUAUUGCACAAUGGGCGGAAGCCUGAUGCAGCAACGCCGCGUGCGGGAUGACGGCCUUCGGGUUGUAAACCGCUUUCGCCUGUAACGAAGCGUGAGUGACGGUAAUGGGUAAAGAAGCACCGGCUAACUACGUG